rnacentral:lncRNA from 1 species
GUUGUUGUAUCUCUUUUUUGGAGCUCGGAUGCUUUAUGUUGAUGAUAGCUUUUAUCUUCUCGAGAUUAGCCUCGAUUUCUUGUGACACAAGAAAUCCAAGAAAUUUUUCAGAAGUCAUCCCAAAUGCACACUUAGUUGGAUUCAACUUCAUCUGAUAUCAUCGAAGUGUGCUAAAGGCUUCUUCUAGGUCACGGACUUGCUCUGAAGCCUGGGAGCUUUUCAC